rnacentral:rRNA from 1 species
CCUAGUAACGGCGAGUGAAGCGGGCAACAGCUCAAAUUUGAAAUCUGGCUUCGGCCCGAGUUGUAAUUUGUAGAGGAAGAUUUAGGCGCGGCACCUUCUGAGUCCCCUGGAACGGGGCGCCAUAGAGGGUGAGAGCCCCGUAUAGUUGGAUGCCUAGCCUGUGUAAAUCUCCUUCGACGAGUCGAGUAGUUUGGGAAUGCUGCUCAAAAUGGGAGGUAAAUUUCUUCUAAAGCUAAAUAUUGGCCAGAGACCGAUAGCGCACAAGUAGAGUGAUCGAAAGAUGAAAAGCACUUUGAAAAGAGGGUUAAAUAGCACGUGAAAUUGUUGAAAGGGAAGCGCUUGUGACCAGACUUGCGCCGGGCGGAUCAUCCGGUGUUCUCACCGGUGCACUCCGCCCGGCUCAGGCCAGCAUCGGUUCUCGUGGGGGGAUAAAGGCCCUGGGAACGUAGCUCCUCCGGGAGUGUUAUAGCCCAGGGUGUAAUGCCCUCGCGGGGACCGAGGUUCGCGCAUCUGCAAGGAUGCUGGCGUAAUGGUCAUCAGCGACCCGUCUUGAAACACGGACCAAGGAGUCAAGGUUUUGCGCGAGUGUUUGGGUGUAAAACCCGCACGCGUAAUGAAAGUGAACGUAGGUGAGAGCUUCGGCGCAUCAUCGACCGAUCCUGAUGUAUUCGGAUGGAUUUGAGUAGGAGCGUUAAGCCUUGGACCCGAAAGAUGGUGAACUAUGCUUGGAUAGGGUGAAGCCAGAGGAAACUCUGGUGGAGGCUCGCAGCGGUUCUGACGUGCAAAUCGAUCGUCAAAUCUGAGCA